UACGUAGGGUCCGAGCGUUGUCCGGAAUUAUUGGGCGUAAAGAGCUCGUAGGCGGCUUGUCGCGUCGACUGUGAAAACUUGGGGCUCAACCCCAAGCUUGCAGUCGAUACGGGCAGGCUAGAGUUCGGUAGGGGAGACUGGAAUUCCUGGUGUAGCGGUGAAAUGCGUAGAUAUCUGGAGGAAUACCGGUGGCGAAGGCGGCAUCCUGGACCGGCAUUGACGCUGAGGAGCGAAAGCCAGGGGAGCAAAGCGGG
rnacentral:rRNA from 1 species